rnacentral:rRNA from 1 species
UACGUAGGGGGCAAGCGUUGUCCGGAUUUAUUGGGCGUAAAGAGCGUGUAGGCGGCCUUACAGGUCAGCUGUGAAAACUCGAGGCUCAACCUCGAGACGUCGGUGGAAACCGUAUGGCUAGAGUCCGGAAGAGGAGAGUGGAAUUCCUGGUGUAGCGGUGAAAUGCGCAGAUAUCAGGAAGAACACCCGUGGCGAAGGCGGCUCUCUGGGACGGUACUGACGCUGAGACGCGAAAGCGUGGGGAGCGAACAGG